rnacentral:rRNA from 1 species
GGGUUCAAUUCCGGAGAGGGAGCCUGAGAAACGGCUACCACAUCUAAGGAAGGCAGCAGGCGCGCAAAUUACCCAAUUCUAACAGCAUAAGAGAGGUAGUGACAAGAAAUAACAGUACAAGGCAGUUAAAAUGCUUUGUAAUUGGAAUGAUAGAAAUUUAAAUACUUUUUAAAGUAUCAAUUGGAGGGCAAGUCUGGUGCCAGCAGCCGCGGUAAUUCCAGCUCCAAUAGCGUAUAUUAAAAUUGUUGCAGUUAAAAAGCUCGUAGUUAAAUUUUUGCUAAAAAUAACCGGUCUGCUUUUAUUAAUAAAAGUGGUAUCUUGGUGUGUUUUUAGCAAUAAUGUCCUUUGAAAUGUUUUUUACUUUAUUGUAAAAAGCAAUUUUCAGGAUUUUUACUUUGAGAAAAUUAGAGUGUUUCAAGCAGGCUAACGUUUUGAAUACUGCAGCAUGGAAUAAUAAAAUAGGAUUUUAGUUCUACGUUAUUGGUUUU